rnacentral:rRNA from 1 species
AGGAUGAACGCUGGCGGCGUGCCUAACACAUGCAAGUCGAACGCGCUCCAUUCAGUAGCAAUACUGAUGAAGAGUGAGUGGCGAACGGGUGAGUAACACAUGAGCAACCUGCCCCGAAGACUGGGACAACACCGGGAAACCGGUGCUAAUACCGGAUAUCCCUAUCGGACCGCAUGAUCUGAUAAGGAAAUGGAUUCCGCUUCGGGAGGGGCUCGCGGCCUAUCAGCUAGUUGGUGAGGUAAUAGCUCACCAAGGCAUCGACGGGUAGCUGGUCUGAGAGGACGAUCAGCCACACUGGGACUGAGACACGGCCCAGACUCCUACGGGAGGCAGCAGUGGGGAAUCUUGCGCAAUGGGCGAAAGCCUGACGCAGCAACGCCGCGUGGAGGACGAAGGCUUUCUGAGUUGUAAACUCCUUUCAGCAGGGACGAUUGUGACGGUACCUGCAGAAGAAGCACCGGCCAACUACGUG